CUUCCGUAGGUGAACCUGCGGAAGGAUCAUUACUGAGUGAGGGCCCUCUGGGUCCAACCUCCCACCCGUGUUUAUUGUACCUUGUUGCUUCGGUGCGCCCGCCUCACGGCCGCCGGGGGGCUUCUGCCCCCGGGUCCGCGCGCACCGGAGACACCAUUGAACUCUGUCUGAAGAUUGCAGUCUGAGCAUAAACUAAAUAAGUUAAAACUUUCAACAACGGAUCUCUUGGUUCCGGCAUCGAUGAAGAACGCAGCGAAAUGCGAUAACUAAUGUGAAUUGCAGAAUUCAGUGAAUCAUCGAGUCUUUGAACGCACAUUGCGCCCCCUGGUAUUCCGGGGGGCAUGCCUGUCCGAGCGUCAUUGCUGCCCUCAAGCACGGCUUGUGUGUUGGGCUCCGUCCCCCCGGGGACGGGCCCGAAAGGCAGCGGCGGCACCGAGUCCGGUCCUCGAGCGUAUGGGGCUUUGUCACCCGCUCUGUAGGCCCGGCCGGCGCCAGCCGACAACCCAUCAUCCUUUUCAGGUUGACCUCGGAUCAGGUAGGGAUACCCGCUGAACUUAAGCAUAUCAAUAAGCGGAGGAA
rnacentral:misc_RNA from 1 species